ACUCCUACGGGAGGCAGCAGUGGGGAAUAUUGCACAAUGGGCGCAAGCCUGAUGCAGCAACGCCGCGUGAGUGAUGAAGGCCUUCGGGUCGUAAAGCUCUGUCCUCAAGGAAGAAUAAAUGACGGUACUUGAGGAGGAACGCCCCGGCUAACUACGUGCCAGCAGCCGCGGUAAUACGUAGGGGCAAGCGUUAUCCGGAAUCACUGGGCGUAAAGGGUGCGUAGGCGGUUUUUCAAGUCAGAAGUGAAAGGCUAUGGCUCAACCAUAGUAAGCUUUUGAAACUGUUAAACUUGAGUGCAGGAGAGGAAAAGUGGAAUUCCUAGUGUAGAGGUGAAAUUCGUAGAUAUUAGGAGGAACACCAGUGGCGAAGGCGACUUUCUGGACUGUAACUGACGCUGAGGCACGAAAGCGUGGGAGCGAACAGGAUUAGAUACCCGUGUAGCACAGAG
rnacentral:rRNA from 1 species